rnacentral:rRNA from 1 species
AACGCGAAGAACCUUACCUGGGUUUGACAUGCACCAGACAUCCCUAGAGAUAGGGCUUCCCUUGUGGUUGGUGUGCAGGUGGUGCAUGGCUGUCGUCAGCUCGUGUCGUGAGAUGUUGGGUUAAGUCCCGCAACGAGCGCAACCCUCGUUCCAUGUUGCCAGCGGGUUAUGCCGGGGACUCAUGGGAGACUGCCGGGGUCAACUCGGAGGAAGGUGGGGAUGACGUCAAGUCAUCAUGCCCCUUAUGUCCAGGGCUUCACACAUGCUACAAUGGCAAGUACAGAGGGCUGCGAGACCGUGAGGUGGAGCGAAUCCCUUAAAGCUUGUCUCAGUUCGGAUCGGGGUCUGCAACUCGACCCCGUGAAGUUGGAGUCGCUAGUAAUCGCAGAUCAGCAACGCUGCGGUGAAUACGUUCCCGGGCCUUGUACACACCG